GACGAACGCUGGCGGCGUGCUUAACACAUGCAAGUCGAACGGAAAGGCCCUGCUUUUGUGGUGUGCUCGAGUGGCGAACGGGUGAGUAACACGUGAGUAACCUGCCCUUGACUUUGGGAUAACUUCAGGAAACUGGGGCUAAUACCGGAUAGGAGCUCCUGCUGCAUGGUGGGGGUUGGAAAGUUUCGGCGGUUGGGGAUGGACUCGCGGGUUAUCAGCUUGUUGGUGGGGUAGUGGCUUACCAAGGGUUUGACGGGUAGCCGGCCUGGGAGGGUGAACGGCCACAUUGGGACUGAGAUAGGGCCCAGACUCCUACGGGAGGCAGCAGUGGGGAAUAUUGCACAAUGGGCGGAAGCCGGAUGAAGAAACGCCGCGUGCGGGAUGACGGCCUUCGGGUUGUAAACCGCUUCCGCCUGUGACGAAGCGUGAGUGACGGUAAUGGGUAAAGAAGCACCGGCUAACUACGUG
rnacentral:rRNA from 1 species